rnacentral:tRNA from 2 species
GCGGAUGUGGCGGAAUUGGUAUACGCGCACGCUUGAGGUGCGUGUGGCAUAGUCCUUGCGAGUUCGAGUCUCGCCAUCCGCA